UUAUAAGAGACAGCAGUCGCCGCGGUAAUACGAAGGGUGCAAGCGUUAAUCGGAAUUACUGGGCGUAAAGCGUGCGUAGGCGGUGAGUUAAGUCUGCUGUGAAAUCCCCGGGCUCAACCUGGGAAUGGCAGUGGAUACUGGCUCGCUAGAGUGUGUCAGAGGAUGGUGGAAUUCCCGGUGUAGCGGUGAAAUGCGUAGAGAUCGGGAGGAACAUCAGUGGCGAAGGCGGCCAUCUGGGACAACACUGACGCUGAGGCACGAAAGCGUGGGGAGCAAACAGGAUUAGAUACCCGUGUAGUCCCUGUCUCUUAUAA
rnacentral:rRNA from 1 species